GAUGAACGCUGGCGGCGUGCCUAAUACAUGCAAGUCGAGCGAACGGACGAGAAGCUUGCUUUUCUGAUGUUAGCGGCGGACGGGUGAGUAACACGUGGAUAACCUACCUAUAAGACUGGGAUAACUUCGGGAAACCGGAGCUAAUACCGGAUAAUAUUUUGAACCGCAUGGUUCAAAAGUGAAAGACGGUCUUGCUGUCACUUAUAGAUGGAUCCGCGCUGCAUUAGCUAGUUGGUAAGGUAACGGCUUACCAAGGCAACGAUGCAUAGCCGACCUGAGAGGGUGAUCGGCCACACUGGAACUGAGACACGGUCCAGACUCCUACGGGAGGCAGCAGUAGGGAAUCUUCCGCAAUGGGCGAAAGCCUGACGGAGCAACGCCGCGUGAGUGAUGAAGGUCUUCGGAUCGUAAAACUCUGUUAUUAGGGAAGAACAUAUGUGUAAGUAACUGUACACAUCUUGACGGUACCUAAUCAGAAAGCCGCGGCUAACUACAUG
rnacentral:rRNA from 1 species